CCCACCAUAGUUUAUUUAAAAACGUCAACCUGCAAAAUUGAUAAAGGAUUGUUGUCCUGGUGUGU
rnacentral:tRNA from 1 species